CUGGAACCUCUCGGGGUUACAGCCUUGCUGAAUUAUUCACCCUUGUCUUUUGCGUACUUCUUGUUUCCUUGGUGGGUUCGCCCACCACUAGGACAAACAUAAACCUUUUGUAAUUGCAAUCAGCGUCAGUAACAAAUUAAUAAUUACAACUUUCAACAACGGAUCUCUUGGUUCUGGCAUCGAUGAAGAACGCAGCGAAAUGCGAUAAGUAGUGUGAAUUGCAGAAUUCAGUGAAUCAUCGAAUCUUUGAACGCACAUUGCGCCCUUUGGUAUUCCAAAGGGCAUGCCUGUUCGAGCGUCAUUUGUACCCUCAAGCUUUGCUUGGUGUUGGGCGUCUUGUCUCUAGCUUUGCUGGAGACUCGCCUUAAAGUAAUUGGCAGCCGGCCUACUGGUUUCGGAGCGCAGCACAAGUCGCACUCUCUAUCAGCAAAGGUCUAGCAUCCAUUAAGCCUUUUUUUCAACUUUUGACCUCGGAU
rnacentral:sRNA from 1 species